GAUGAAAGCUGGCGGCGUGCUUAACACAUGCAAGUCGAACGGUGAAAGAGAGCUUGCUCUCUGGAUCAGUGGCGAACGGGUGAGUAACACGUGAGCAAUCUGCCCCUGACUCUGGGAUAAGCGCUGGAAACGGCGUCUAAUACCGGAUACGAGCUGCGAAGGCAUCUUCAGCAGCUGGAAAGAACUUCGGUCAGGGAUGAGCUCGCGGCCUAUCAGCUUGUUGGUGAGGUAAUGGCUCACCAAGGCGUCGACGGGUAGCCGGCCUGAGAGGGGGACCGGCCACACUGGGACUGAGACACGGCCCAGACUCCUACGGGAGGCAGCAGUGGGGAAUAUUGCACAAUGGGCGCAAGCCUGAUGCAGCAACGCCGCGUGAGGGACGACGGCCUUCGGGUUGUAAACCUCUUUUAGCAGGGAAGAAGCGAAAGUGACGGUACCUGCAGAAAAAGCACCGGCUAACUACGUGCCAGCCGCCGCGGUAA
rnacentral:rRNA from 1 species